ACCUGAUCCCAUUCCGAACUCAGAAGUCAAGCUCUUCAUCGCCGAUGGUACUACACUCAAGAGUGUGGGAGAGUAGGACGCCGCCAGGU
rnacentral:rRNA from 1 species